rnacentral:rRNA from 1 species
GGAGGUUGGCUUAGAAGCAGCCAUUCCUUUAAAGAGUGCGUAAUAGCUCACUAGUUAAGCGGCCCGGCGUCGAUAAUACACGGGCAUUAAACACACUGCCGAAGCUGUGGACUCUAAUAGAGUGGUAAGGGAGCAUUCCAGGGGCGCAGAAGCCAGAUCGUGAGAUCUGGUGGAGCCCCUGGAAGCGAAACUGUAGGCAUGAGUAACGAUAAGACGGGCGAGAAACCCGUCCACCAAAAACCCAAGGGUUCCUGAUCAACGCUAAUCGGAUCAGGGUUAGUCGAGACCUAAGGUGUAGCCGAAAGGCGAAGCCGAUGGCAAACCGGUUAAAUAUUCCGGUACCGAUUGUAGCGCCAGGCUAAGGCGUGACGCAGAAGUGACACUCCCGCGUGCUGACGAAUGCACGUUAAAGGGCGUAGGCCGGGGGGCAGGCAAAUCCGCCUCCCGUUAAGGCUGAACCCCGACAGUACCCAGAGGCUACGGCCAACGGGAUAGUGGAGGUAAUCCAGCUGCCGAGAAAAGCGUCGUAGUUUGUUACAAUCGCUCGUACCCCAAACCGACACAGGUGGGUGAGGAGAGUAUCCUAAGGUGCUCGAGUAAUUCAUGGCUAAGGAACUAGGCAAAUUCGAUCCGUA